rnacentral:lncRNA from 1 species
GAAAUGAAGAUACAACCUGAAAAGCGAAUUCAGCUAAAUGAGGAGGACUACACUUCUGCCACCACCAGAACCACUGGAUCAAUCCCAGAAAUGUACUCAACAUCUGGAAUAUCUUCAAAUAGUUCACAGCAACCACUGGAACCAGUAAGUGCAGAUCUGAGGUUGGCUGGUUAAAGCAAUUCCAGUAUGUUGCUAAGUGUUCCCUAUUCACUUGUAGGGGGGAAAAACCAAUGUCGUGAUACAUAAACCCCAGUAGAAAAACCAAUCCAGUGUUGUUUGGGUGAAUGGUCCAUCAAUGGUCCUGAUUCAGGGCCCCAGACUUUCCCAUCAUGACCCCUAUUAACCAUGAGCAUCCUCUAAGGUUUCAGUGCCCCAGCAUGGACACCACUUGUGUGGCUUCCAUUGGGCAGGCCUGGACCUCACACCUAUCUCCCCUGCUCUCCUUGCUUACUGGCAACUGGAAGACAGGCAUGCAGUGUAGGUCAGCUCUGUGCUCAAGAGGAAAAGCAAGUAGGCUUGUGUGCACGCUGCAGCUCCAUGGUUGUUGAGUCUCUGCUCAUAGCAGUCUUUAAAAACAAACAUCCACAAUAUCUUCCAGUUUAAUUAAAAGAUGACUUGCGACUUUCGGUGAGAGAAAGGAGGGGUAUAAAUGCCUCCAGCCAUGAGCUUCUAUCUGGUGUAUGUUGUAAAGAGCCAAGGCUAAAGGCUUUUUUUUUUCUCACUAGUGUGUGGUGGUCAAGAGGCAUCUAUGUAUUGGGAAGGUCAGCAGCCACCCUGUUCCACAGAGAGAAGGCAUAGGCCUAUUGGAAACGUUUGAAUUGAUACAAAAAUUGCCUUUCAAGGCCAGGCUUCUUAAAGCUGCGUUUUACCUAUUUGGAAGAUCUUUAAAUGAGUAACAAAGUAUCAAACAAAGGUGUCUAAGGGAGUUAAAGGUAGGUUCAGAGGGGCCACCGAACAGUCUCACUAAUACUGCAGCCACACAUCAUUGUAAACAUGAAAAGGAAAGCAAUGCUUACCACACACCCAAUGCAGCCCACCUCCAAGGAUAUUAAAACCCCAUAGACAGAACUGUACUCUCCAUGUUAAAUGUGGGAAAAUAUAAGAUACAGUGAGCAUACGAAAAACCCUUCUCGGCCUGGAGACGCGGCUCAGUGGUUAUUAAACUUAGGUUUUUAUGAAUUCCGAGCAAACGCUGUGCUACUACUAGGGUACAUCCCCAGCCACCAAC